GGGAUCGAGCGCUUGGCUACACUCGAAUGCUUACUCUGGAAACAGCCCAAAGACAGCACAUGUCCACAGGCACCAGGGUCCCAUCCCUUAGUCACAGCUCUGCAGGUCCCUCCAUCAGAGGUCCUCAACGCCUGGAGGGAAGUCGGCUGUGGAGAAGGACUGCUUGAGACUUUUAUUCCCCUUCCGUCUUGGAAACGAUGCCGGCAGCCCCGUGCAGCAGCUCCCCUCCUUCCCCCUCCCUUGCCUCAGCCCCUAUGAGGGGGGAGGAAGAGCGUGGGCGGUGGAAGGAGUUGUGGUCCCCAGAUGUGUGAAUUGUUGCCGAGAAGAAAUAGCGCACCACGGACAAACAGCAGAGCGGCUCAGCUGAGGGAGAGCCAUCGCGCUGGGCUUGCGUCACUGACCUUUUCCUCUCGCCCUUCUCAGUCCUCACCUGACCCUCCCACUGCUUCCCCUGCACUUUGUACUCAGCCAUCUCUCUGCGCAGCGCUCUGCAAUGGUGAUUAAAGCAGGCACGGGAGCUUAGAGAGGGGGAGGAAAGUGGAAAAAAAAAAAAAAAAAAAAAACACCCUAGAGCAAAAAGAGGGCAUUGCAGCCAUUAUCUCUUCAUUUCCCUUGAGUUCACAUCGCCCAUCCCACCAUUGACCCAGCACACCGCAGUCCCUGCCUGCUGCAGCCACUGCAAUGUAAGCACAGUGGUUCUGCCUCUGUUGGCAGCGCUACAGAUGGGGGAGGAGAAGCAAGCUGUCCUGGGGUCAGGGGGGUGCUCCGGACUGAAGUACGUGAACAAAUGGAAAUGCUAAAAAAAAUAAAAAUGGGAACAACCUUGAAAAUGUGGUGCAAUUGCAAAAGCCUGCGUAAAUAUUCUAGAAACUCAAACAAUGCCGCCAGUAGAUCACAGAAUGAGAG
rnacentral:lncRNA from 1 species